CUUCUGCUGCCCUGUAAGCAGUCUGACUGCCAUGAGGAUGUCAUGCUGUGAGGAAGCCCGAACUAGCUAGUGCAGAGGGACCGCAUUAAAAGAGAGAGAUGCUUAGCUGGCUGACAGAUGCUCGAACACUCCUCUUCCCCUGCUGUUUCAGCUGCAGCCACCAUUUAACUGCAACUCCAUGAGGACUCUAAGCUAGAAGGACCCAUCUGGAGCCUUCCUGAAUUCCCGACCCACAGAAGCCAUGAGAGAUGAGGUGGUUGCUGUUGCUCAGUGGCACUGAGUUUCGUGGUGAUUGUCAUCCUGCAGUGGGACCUGGAACAGAGACCCUUGAGGCAGAACCGUUUGCUUUGUUCACCGGCCUUUACUCUGUGGUGAUCACAGUGCCUGGCACAUGGAGCAAGAGCAAGUUCAGUCUUCAGCAACUGGAUGAAGAGAUGGGAAAAUAGAGAGCGGUUCUUUCCCAGUCUGGCCUCAUAGACCAUGGAGACAAUGACAGUGAGCCAUUUCUUCCUCUCCCUGAAUUUCUGUUGACCCGUAAUAUAAGCUCUUCUCCUCUGCCAGAAGUAUUUUUCUUUUGGCUCCUCCCCACAAGAUAACAAGUAAUGUAUCUGGUUGGUGAGAUAGGAAAAUACCAUUGCAGCCACAUGAGCUCUCUUAGGUCUCUCUCUGUGUCCUCACCUGCGCUUCUCUCCACGUAGUAAGCCCUUAGGUGGGAUCCACACCUGCAGGGAAAGGUCUGAAGGUGUCCAGGGAUUCUGCCUAUGAUUUGAUAUGUCAAUUCAAUUCAGAGGAGAAAAUACAGAAAACCCAUUUGGCCCGUUGUCUGUAUCUCACGCUCUGGAAUCUAGCUCUAAAGCAACAACACUGAUAUUCUUGACUUUUGUGUGAAAAUAUUAAUAGCCAGCCCUUAUAUAAUGCUUACAAUGUGCCAAACCCUGUUCCAAAUGGCUUUCCUACAUUAAUUCAUGCAAUCCUCCUAUAACCCUAUGAGGUAUGUUGUAGGUCUCACAAAGACAGCCACGUCCUAAUCCUCAAAACCUGUGAAUAUGUUCAGUUACCUGACAAAAGGAGAAUUAAGGAAUUAAGACUGAGAAUCAGCUGACCUUAAAAUAAGAUUAUCCUGGGUUAUCCAGGUGGGUCCAGUGUAUUCACAAGGGUCCUUAAAAAGGGAAGAGUGAGACAAAAGUGUCAGUUGCAGAGUGCAUCAACACGAGAAAGGCUUGAUCUGCUGUGGCUGGCUUUGAAAAUGGAAGAAGGGACUCAUGAGCCAUGGCAUACAGGUGGCUUCUAGAAGCUGGAAAAGGCAAGAAAACAGAUUCUCCCCUAGAGCUGCCAGAAGGAACACAGCCCUGUCAACACCCUGAUUUUAGCCCAGGGAGGCCCAUUUCAGACCUUCAAUCUCCAGAACGAUAUGAUAAUCAAUUUGUAUUGUUUUUAACCACUAAGUUUGUGGCAAUUCAUUACAGCAGCAAUGGGAAACUAAUCCAAGGAGGGCACUGCUUUUAUCCCACUAACCCACUGAUGAAACUGAGACAGGGAAAUGUUAAGUCACCUGUCCAAGGUCACACCCAGGCCGACUCCUUCCAGAGUCUGUCUUCUUG
rnacentral:lncRNA from 1 species